rnacentral:rRNA from 1 species
GUGCCAGCAGCCGCGGUAAUACGUAGACCUCGAGCGUUAUCCGGAUUUACUGGGCGUAAAGCGUACGUAGGUGUCUUCGUAAGUCUCUGGUGAAAUCUCCGGGCUUAACUCGGAACUGGUCAGAGAAACUGCGAGGAUUGAGUGUGGUAGAGGCAGAUGGAAUGGUUGGUGUAGCGGUAAAAUGCGUUGAUAUCAACCAGAACACCAGUGGCGAAGGCGAUCUGCUGGACCAUUACUGACACUGAGGUACGAAAGCGUGGGUAGCGAACGGGAUUAGAUACCCCUGUAGUCC